AGUGCAGUGGGACCACAGUGCUGCGGAACCACCAGUGCAACGGAACCACAGUGCAUCGAGACUACAAGUGCAUCGGGACACAGUGCAUCGGGACCACGGUGCAGCAGGACCACCAGUGCAGCGGGACCACCAGUGCAGCGGGACCACCAGUGCAGGCCCACCACCCGGGGAAGCCUUUUGUUUAUCACAGCCAUGACUCAAUAGCAGGAAUAAUUAACCAGUGCUUUGCUCUUUGGGGAUUACACAGCUAACCAUCCAUAACCCACAUGAGGUUGUUCUCUCUGCAAAUCAGUUCCAGCACGAUUUUUGAAAGGAAGGAGUGACUAUGACGGAAGAGAUGGAGUGGGUGGCGCUGAAGGGAAGGCGAGCAGGCAUGCCGGUGUCGAUAGAGGACAUUCCACCACUGUAAUAAUUACCAUGUUAUGAUUGGUCUACCUUUCAUUUUGUAUUCCUGGUUUUAAUUACUAGAGUACUGUUUCUUUCUUGUAAGCUAUAAUUUCCCCCUUGUGUGGAGGGUUUUUUCCAAAAUAUGUUCAUGAAAUUAGAUUUUCCUUUUUCUGCAUAUGUCAUUCAUACUCGAUUUAUUGAACAGUUUCUCCUCCUGUUCCAAAGAUUUUUGUUUCAGCCUGAUGUUUAUGUAAUAUCUUGGUAAUUUUUCUCAAAUUCUUGAUGAAUUAAAAAAUGCAUCCUCCUAUCUAUAAAACAUGCUCAGAAUUGCGCACUAUCUGUUGCAUGAGUUGGUUUCUCCACACGAGCCACGCUAUUUAUCUAUUCACAGUGAACACAAGUAAUGGUGGCAGGAGUCUGGGUAUGGUGACUCAGAGCCACACUGGCCAGGUUUCAAGGUCUUUGCCCUUGGUGGCACUUUACGCCGCCCUGUAUGAUAAGGCUCCUGACUUUGAUCCUUAUCAUUAGAUGCCAUUUGCCAAAAUGCCCUUAGAGCUGUGCUUAUAAGACUGAGUUUCCUUCCCACUUAGUUUGCUUUUUAUACACAUAUACAUUUUAAAUCUAGGUCCCACCCAUGAGAGAAAACAUUGCUCUCCUUAGUCUGGCUUAUUUCACGUAAUGUGAUUAUUUCUAAUCAUGUCCAAACAUCAUGACGUCAUGAUUCCUUUUUUGUUUUUUUCUAAAUGUAUAUGAUUACACUGUGACUGUCUUCAGACACAACAGAAGGCACCGGAUCCCAUACAGAUGGUUGUGAGCCACCAAGUGGUUGCUGAGAAUUGAACUCAGGACCUCUGGAACAACAGUCAGUGCUCUAAACUGCUGAGCUAUCUCUCCAGCCCCGAUUCCAUUUUUCCUUGUGGCUGUAUAAAAUCCCAUUGUCUGCUGUAUGAUGUUUUCCUUGUCAGGUCAUCUACUGACAGACGUCUAGGCUGGUUCCUUUCCCUGGCCACCAUGUAGCAAUAAACAAGGCUAUAUGUUUAAUAAUAAACAAUAAACAAG
ensembl:lincRNA 4930425O10Rik RIKEN cDNA 4930425O10 gene